AUUGAACGCUGGCGGCAGGCCUAACACAUGUAAGUCGAGCGGAUGAAGGGAGCUUGCUCCUGGAUUCAGCGGCGGACGGGUGAGUAAUGCCUAGGAAUCUGCCUGGUAGUGGGGGAUAACGUCCGGAAACGGGCGCUAAUACCGCAUACGUCCUGAGGGAGAAAGUGGGGGAUCUUCGGACCUCACGCUAUCAGAUGAGCCUAGGUCGGAUUAGCUAGUUGGUGGGGUAAAGGCCUACCAAGGCGACGAUCCGUAACUGGUCUGAGAGGAUGAUCAGUCACACUGGAACUGAGACACGGUCCAGACUCCUACGGGAGGCAGCAGUGGGGAAUAUUGGACAAUGGGCGAAAGCCUGAUCCAGCCAUGCCGCGUGUGUGAAGAAGGUCUUCGGAUUGUAAAGCACUUUAAGUUGGGAGGAAGGGCAGUAAGUUAAUACCUUGCUGUUUUGACGGUACCAACAGAAUAAGCACCGGCUAACUUCGUG
rnacentral:rRNA from 1 species